GCGAGUCCAUUAACAGUGACUUUGUGUGAGUGACUGUGUGAGAGAGUUGUGGCCAAUAAACUUGAGCAGCAGCGCGAGCUCCACGCGCGCGUUGAAGGAGAAGAAAUGGGACGAGCUGGUGAUCGGCGAGGGCCACAACGGGCCUCACCGCCACCGCCUACCUCGCUCCCUCUGGACUCUCCGUCGCCGUCCUCGACCGCCGCCCCCGAAGAUCUCAUCCCCGGUAUUGCGAAAAGAGACAUGGAUUGAAGUUAUUGAAACGGAGUCCUUCUAUCAUUCACGCCUUGUGUUGAUGUCCGGUAUCUUCUAUUGGGUCCUGAUAAAGAACUCAACCAUUCAAUGAUUUCAAAAUUAUCCAAACGGGACGAGAGGUUCAAUUCAACAUGUAUGUAUCUUAUGCAUUCUAAUUCUCUGCCCUUAGAGUAAAAAAAAAAAAAAAAUCAUUGUAGAAGCAACUACAAGCCUGGAGUCAGUGGAUUGGAAUUGAAAUUGAACGAAAAAUUAGUGUAAGAUACGAAUUCCAUGCUAUCAAAUUGAGUAUAGAUGUCCUGAGAAUCCUGCAAGUUUAAUUAUAUUUCCUAGGAACCCAGAAGAAGUACCAUUGAACACAUCAUCAUCAUCCUGGCCUUAAGCUCAUAUGAAUGAGGUCAGCCGCAUAAUUUCUCUUUUUCUGAAUAUGUAUGAACCAUGUAAUAAAUGGUUUCCUUAUGAUAGGGCAGCUUUUAAGUAUAUGUUGAUUGCAUCUUUCUCAAAAUGAGUUAUGAUAAUGUAUUUUAUUUUGUUUUAAUGUAAUAUAAACUAUUUGCAUUAGUUCUAGUCCAUAAUGUAGUUUUUCUUGCAAGGGAGAGCCAGAGACUUAUAUGACCAAUUGUUGUAUUUGCCGAAUCAAGCAAUGCAUCUAACAUAGAAUAUAGACAGAAGGAAACUCUAGAAGCUGGGAUCAAGUGUGUUCAGAAAGUGCACUAAUAUUUUUGAUUUGUUCCCGAGCUAUUCAGGAUAUAAUACCAUAAGGAGACAAGUGAAGGUAGUUGCCGGUGAUGUUUGUAGAUAAAAUUAUCAAAAGCUGCAAAUAUUAUGUGAUGUGCUGAUCAAUUGUAAUGAUUUCCUGAAUAUGUAAUUUAAGUUUCAAAGCCUACUUGAAGGAUUAUGAGAACAUUAGGACAAAUUAACCGAAUGGAAAAUAGCUGAAAAAUCAGCAUAUGUAAAGCAAUGGAAUAGAGAAGAAGUUUUGUUUAAAUGUUUUAGUUUUAUUUCAUAAGUGUAGAAUUGAUGACGUUUGAAUAUAAAUAUAAUGAAUAGUUUCACAUCAGCUCCUGAAUCUUGAUUUUCUUAUGAAUUAUGCUUACUACUCUAUUUAUUAUUUAUUUUAUGCAUUGUCUUUUAAUGCCAAGAUGAAAAAUAAGUUACAGAAAUCAGUUUUUUGGGCUCAUUGUCUGAGGUGGGCUCUUUCCUUGGGGCAAAAAAGAUAUGGUGUAAGAGGUUUUUAUUUUUAUUUCUCCAUAUUCCAAACUUGGGUCCUUUUAUCGUUAACAUGUUAAUUCUUUUGUUUCUUGUUGUUACUGCCAACCGGAAGCAGUGCACCAUAAACUAUGUACCUGCAUUGAUCAAGUCAAUACAAAUUCAUUAACUUUAGUAAUUUAUGAUUUUUUAGUGGUGAUCUCAUCCUUUCCUAACUUGUAUCAGUUGAUGUUUCAGGGACUCCUAUUGUCCCCAGCAUUGAAGGUUUUUUAUAAUUGGUUUGAGGUUAUUACGUGAUUUUAAUGCUCUUGUUAUUUAUCAUUUGACUUUAUGGACUGUUGUGCACAUAUAUCCAUAUAUAUAUAUAUACACACACAUAUAUUCCAGCAUCACAAUGGCAAAGAAGUGUCCAUUUUUUUCCUCAUUAGCUCAAGUUUACCUUUUUUCAUCCAAUCUUGUGUAAUCUCAUUCCAAAUUUUAUCUAAAAGUUGUUGGAAAUGUUUAAUUUGGAACAUUUAAUUUGAUCUUUUAAUGUUCCUUGGAAGGGUAAAAGAAUUAUUGGAAGGCAUCAUUUUACCUCUUGUUAUUUCUGUGUUGCAUCGCCUUGAAUCUUAUAUUUCUGAUCUUAUGUUAUAUUUCAAUGUAGGGAAUUUUUACAUGUCUAAAAGAGUUUCUUGUGUGUGUGUGUUCACUAAACUUGUGGGUUCAAUUGAUGAGUGUCCAUUUUACCAAUUUAUUAAUGUACUAUCAUUGAUGUGAAUAACUACAGGCUGAUGUUCUGAAGGCACCACUUGCCAUGAAUUCCGUAAUAGGGACCACGGUAGGAUUCUUAUUCAUUCUGUUGAAAUGCACUGGUUUUAGGGGUGUACAUAUUAGUGUGCAUGGUAUCAGGAUCAAGUUGUGACUAUAGUCUCAUAUGUUUAUCCGGAUGGAUUUGAGUUGCUGAGGUGAUCGCUAAUGAUCUCGUGGACUUUUUGUGGGACCAAGAUUUAAUGGUGACACAUUGAACAGGAGAAAUGAGCCAUCCAUUCAAGUAUGGGCUGUCUGAAUAUUUUCUUAAAAUACACUUGCUUUAGUUUGAUCUCUGUGUCAGGAAAAAUUCAUACGACUGCUAGUUGUGGAAUUUUGUUUUUCUCAGUUUGUUGUUUUAUCCUUUUGUUUGGCAGAGAAGACAACUAGUUUUGGAGGAAAAUUCUAGUGCAAAACUUUUUGAGAUGAUCUUAUUUUUAUGUUGGGGACUUUUGCAACGAGAAUUUCAGUCUAUUUUCCCUCUCUUUUUUAGUCCUUGCCUAGCAAAAUGAUAUGCUAUAUUUAACAUAUCAAUUUUGUACCUUUUCAUUUCACCCAAAUGAUAAUGGGAUUGGUUCAAAUAAAAUUAGAAAAAAAUGUAAUUACCAAUACACGAUAAAUGUGAUGGUAAUCACCUAGAUCAUGUAUUAUCCGCUGCUACUCUCUUAGGGGAGGUGUAGUUAGGGCUCAAGUCCCAAUAUUUUCUAUAUCAUUUUUGAAUGAUCAAAAUCCAUUCGUGUGAAGUUAGAUGGUAUUUGAUUUGAGGUCCAGUAGUCAAGCUUUGGACAAUAAGGAAAGGGCGAUCCAUUUAGACUAGUUAUUGGCCUUGUUAUGAUAGUUAGUUUGGGGCCUAAACCAAUUGCAUUCAACAUUCUAUAUAUUUUAAAACUAGUCCGUGUCAUAAAUAGUGCCUUAGUUUAUAUUGAUGGUCUCAGACCCGGAAAAGGAGGAGGGUUACAUAAGGUAGCUUGACAACUAGUUUAAACUCUUUGCACCAGUGUGAACAUGAAUCCUAAGAGUAGAAUGGAAAAAUAGGAUUCAUGUAACCAAUCCUAAGUAAUUGGGAAAAAGUUUUGUUUGUUGUUGUUGCUAUAGUGAAUUUUAAAUGGAAAAAUAGGAUCCAUGUAACCAAUCCUUAAGUAAUUGGGAAAAAGUUUUGUUUGUUGUUGUUGUUAUAGUGAAUUUUAAAACUUCAUAAUCUAAAAAUUCUUCUCUCGUUACACUUUUAUUUUAAUAUUUUAAUAUUUGAAUUUUGUUUUUUGUUUUAAUUUUUGUUAUUAUGGAAACGUGUAUCCCCUAAUACUCUCUUUUUCAUGUAUGCACACUAAGGAAAGAUCAAAACUAUGGUAUUGUUCAAUUCCUAUGUGAUAUAUGUCAUUUGGACCUUCCAGUUGUUUGUUUUGUACAUUGGGUGAGUAUUAAUGGGUAUCAAGUAACACAUUAGGCAGUACCUGAGCCCUUCUGUUUGAAAUAUACACUUGUACAAAUUGGUUAUAUCUUCGUAUGUGACCUGUCCAUGCCAAAAAAAAAAAAAAAAAAAAAAAAAAAACCCCAAUUAGUUAGGUAUAUUUGUGUAAUCUACAAAUUUGUACUCUUAAAGACUUUUUGAGAAGCUAAGCAUUAUAAUUUAAAUCUUAUUCUUGCCACCAUCUUCCACUUUUCACCUUUUUCCUAUCUUAUUCAUAAGGCUGGGGUGGACAUUCAUAAACAAAAAUGUUACUGUCUGAAGAUUUAACUCUAAAUAUCUGUCACAGGGCUCAUUAGACUUUGAUUGAAGUUUGGCAUUUCUACAAAUUUACAGAAAUAAUAAGCCAGUUGUCCUCAAUUGUGUGGUAGGGGAAUGUCAAUACUCCUGGGAGUGGAUAUAUUAUGCUACAUCAUGUGAUGGGACAAACUGAUGGUGAUUGUGGGAUAUGGUCAUAUGUAUCUUAGCUGCGGACUUGAUGUUGAGUAUUUUUGUUUUAUAAUGUACGUAACUGACUUAGCUGCCUGUUAAAUGCUGGUAUUUUGGGAGAAUAAAUUUGGAUCUUUGGUGAAGUUUUGAUAUUUAAUUGGCAUGUGAACUUGUGUGCUAUCACAUAUCUCAAACAAACAAGUGACAUUAUUCUCAAUGUUUCCCUACAAUUUUCCAAGGAGGGGCACAUUGCUUUGGUUCUCGAAUAACUCUCUCUGUAUAUAUAUAUAGAUAAAGAUAUAUGUAUACACCAUAUAAAUAUUGGAGUUUGCUUUGAGUUUUCUAUUUGCAAAUAUUUAUGAUGACCUUUUUAAAUUUCCUGGUUAAAUUUGUACAUUUCCCAAUGUUUGCAACUCCAUUCUGUGGUUCCUGGCGCAACGGAUUAUAUUGUGAGUUAUGUAAUUUGCAAGGUCUCUUUAACAAUCUCAACAUUUAAGUCUUCACUUAGGAUCCAUGAUAUAGACUAUGCUUUCAUUGAGUCUGUAUAGUUUGUGUUCAUUUCUUAUGUGAUGCAAAAUUAGUUAUCACUUCUGCAAAUGUACAUUCGGCUUAAAACUGUAUUAGUUUGAAAUGUUGAUCUGGAUCGCUGUUAGCUAUGGUUGAGAAGCAUUUUCGAGUGUGUUCUAUUACAUUUUACACUUUUGCAUAGACAACAUGCAUACUUGCGAUGUGCUUGGUAUCUUUGGCUAUUAGUAAUUCUGCUAGGGAAGCUGGAGCUCAUAUUGUAAUCAUUGCUGAGGGGUGCUUGGUUAGAAGGUACUCUUUUAAGCUUCAUGAUGCAAAUUCAUCUUUAUUGUUCACAUUUUGGCAUAUCAUGUUGUGCAUCAAUUUUGAAAUUUUAAUUUCAACUGCAAUAAAUCAGAAAGAAUGAAACUUGUUUGAUAAAGCGGAAGGUUGGUAGUGGAGAUUCUGACGGGUAAAAGUGGCAAGAAACCACACAUUUUUUAUUGUUUUGUUGUGAUUAAAAGUUUAAAAACUUUUCUAAUUGUAGAAAUUCUGAAGCAUGUUUGUUUUCAUAAUCGCAUUCCUGGUUUGAUUAUGCAAGGGUGUCGUGGCUCAGUCAAAUUUCCUUCUUAUGGAGCUUGGGUACUGUGGUCAUCUAACUUAUCACUUCUGUGAUAAUAAAGCAAUUUACAGCACAUAUUUGACCUUCAAAUUGGUACUUCUUGCCCCUUGCUGAAAACCAAUUUGUAUAAAUUUAAGCGAAUGACCAGGUGAUCUUGGGUACCAAUAGCAUUUGCUAAGUUCAGUCACUUCCUAGUCGAGCAAGCUAGAGCUUAGUGAAUGUUCCUGGUAGAGCAAUGUAGAGCUUAGUGAACAUUCCUAGUAGAGCAAGCUAGAGCUUAGCGAAUGUUGGGCUUUCUAAUUAGAAAGUGCCGCCAGAUUGAGCAAUUUGGGCAAGAGGGCUUGACCGUCAAGAGUCUUCUUUUUUCUUUUUGGCCAAAAAAUUUGGAUUGACGUGAAUGGAGGAACUGAACUAGCAUACAAUUUUGGGGGGUGAACUAAUAAUUAUUUCUUCAGAGGGAGCAUGGUAAGCUUUCCACUACAAGAAAAACUGCCUAUAGAGCUACAGUCCCUUUUAUUUCUCUCUCUCCUCCCCUGAAAUGUGCACAGAUCACUCUCUCUCUCAUCACAUGGUUCCAAAUAUCGUGUUUUUAUUCUGACCACAUUUCUCUCACUGUCGAUCCUUCUUCAAACUGCUUGCGCACGAUCCUUCUCUCUAAUCUGAUCAAGCGAUUUGUUGACCUAACCUUCCAAAAAAUUGAUUUCACUUUGUCUCUCACUAUCGAUCCUACUCCCUCUCCUACACUCCUACAUGAACACGGUCUCACUAUCAAUCCUUCUCUCUCCAACACGAACACGGUAGAUCUGUGACGCCAAAAACCCUAGCUCGAAGUACAAUCUUAGUAAGCAUUCUCUGUAAUUUAGCGUUUUUUUUUCAUUGUUUCAGAUAAAAACGUGAAUUCUACGUAUUCUGUGCUUCUUCACUAAACAAAAGCCCUAACUCGAACCAAAGGAAGUUUGGGGUUUUUGUUCUUCGUUUGAUCGUUUCCUUCUUUCUUUCUUUCUUUUCUUUUUUUUUUUUUUCAUUGUUUUCUUCAUGUUGUAUAUUGAAAUGUUUGCUCUGUGUGUGAUUUUGUUCUCAAUUUUGUUCAUAUUUGUGAUUAGGUGAAGGGACUGCAUAAUGUGUUCGCUCUAUUGGGAGAUAGAUCGGCCAGGGGCUCUGUGAUUUUAGCUCAUUUGAACCAGCAGGACUCUUGUUACCCGUCAUCUCAAUGGGUGGGUUACCAGCUGACCUAAAUUACGUCAAACACCCUAUGUAUCCAGGGCCACAGGAUGCACCCCAGAGGCUAUAUCUAAGAAUUCUUUGAAUAGGAAGGGAUGUGGUUCAUCGUCAGAUAAAGGACUUGAUGCAAAGGUGAAGGGACUGCAUAAUGCGUUUGCUUGAUUGGGAGAUAGAUCGGCCAUGGGCUCUGUGAUUCUAGCUCCAUGGAACCAGGACUAUUACCAGUCAGCUCAAUAAAACGACUUUAAUCAGAAUUCUGAAGCGAGUCUUGAAGUGGGAUGGUAUGUUCUUGGCGAAGGUCAGCAGAAUGUUGACCCCUAUGAUUUUUCUAAGUUGCAUGGGAACUACUAAAAUGAACUUAGCUGUUGAUGCAUUGCCUCCAUUUCGGUGUUGCAAAUUGAGACAUCCUGAUGUUGGUCCUCAACUUGUUGGUACAAUUCACAUUGGCUCGGAGAGGACGUGGUAUGAAAGGCAAGCUUAAUAAUCUUCAAUUUCGGAAGAACUGAAUCCGCCCUGAUCUCUUAGAGUCAGCCUUUGAUGGCUCUUGUAUGCUUUUUGCAAUAUCAAUUAGAUCUAAAAUAUAAUGGGUUCUCUAUAAUUUUAUGCAAUUUUUUUCUUUCUUGAUUUCUUUACAGCCUCUACCCAUCUGUAUAGCAGAUAGUUGAACAGUGCGGCAAAUUUCACUUGCUGGACAGAUGGCUGGCAAAGUUAUUUCCUUGGAAGCACAAAGUUCUAAUCUUCUGGCGUAGACUAAGUUUAGAUAUACUUGAUUACGACUUCAGUGAAAAGGGAUUUGAGGUUUGUAGAAUUGGUGGUAGUGUGAAAUUGUCUGAAAGAAAAAGACAGUUUACAAAAUUUGCCAGAAUAUAUGCUCUUCAGUUUGGUAAGCCCCACUGGGCUGAUCAUUGAGAUCAAGGAGUUCAAUGACUAGAACAGUAACUACGGAAUCUCGUCGGCACUAGGGCUGGUGGGCUGGGUAACAAUCUUACUGCAGCUGAUACCUGCAUUUUAUACUAUAGUGAUCGGUUGCAUCCCAAAAUCCCCGAAUGGAUUUACAUGCUAUGGAUUGAUGUCACAGAAUAGGUCAAACAAAGCUCGUUCAUGUUUACAGGCUGGCAACAACUCAAAUCUGUAGAGGUCCUUUAUGAUUGGCUUUGUUCUUUUGUUUUAUGUAAUGCAAUUUGCUAUUCUACUUGUAAUGGGAAGAAGCUGUAUAACGCUAUCAGGGUCGAAUUCUGAAAAGAGCUUGCAGUUAGUUAAGGCUUGAGCAUGUCGUGAUUGGGAAAGGGCAGUUUCAGCAAGAAAGAACCACAUCCAACAGUACAGAUAUUACGGAGGUCAAGGAGUUCAAUGAUUCGAAUAGCAAAUUACAUAAUAUUUCUCCUCAGCACCUGGGCUGGUGGGCUUGGUAUCAAUCUAACUGCUGGUGAUACGGUGAUACCUGCAUUUUAUAUGAUAGUGACUGGAAUCCCCAAAUGGAUUUACAAGCAGUGGAUCAGUGUCACAGAAAUGGUCAAACAAAGCCAUUCAUGUUUACAGGCUGGCAACAGCUCAAUCUGUAGAGGGUUGAAUUCUGAAAAGAGCUUUCAGUAAGUUAAAGCUUGAGCAUGUCGUGAUUGGGAAAGGGCAGUUUCAGCGAGAAAGAACCACGUCUAAAAGUACAGAUCUUACAGAGGAGGGCCUUCUGGCACUGCUCCGAGAUGAAGAAGAUCCUGAAGACAAGAUGAUACAAACGGAAAUCUCUGAUGAAGAAACCACAGUGAUCUGCUUGGUUUUACACCAAAUGAAGAGGGAGAACCAGACACGCCUUGAUGGGCCUGGUUGGGUGGUGGUGAUGCCAACUGCUUGUGGAGGCAUGCUCUCCAAUCUCAACAGCUGACAAACUGUUUUGGUGUCAUGCGGGAUUUGGUUAGGAGUCGGGCAGGAUUUUUCAGAGUGGCGAACACUGUAAAUCUGCGUCGUCAUUUUGGAUGUGACAUAUUUCUUAGGUUGCUAGAAUAUGCAGAGAGUCUUGGAGUUAAAUAUAUUUAGGUCAUUAUUCAUGUGCUUGAACUAAAUUGAGUUCUCCAAAGUGAGCCAAAACCAUGGAAGAUUUAACCCUUCCUCGUGAUUGUAGAUUAUACUUGUUCAAUGAGAGGAAAGGAUGGAGGAAUGUGGAGAAUUUUUUGGUUCACCUUAACUUCACCUCCUAUUUUUUAUAAAUCAUUAAAACCAUGGUCAAUUUGAAGGGAAUAAUAGUUGAUUUAGGUACCAACUUCACACACUCACAUAAAUUGAAUUCGAAAACUGUCAAAUUAGGUCCUUAAAUCAUUAAUACUCCAGUACAUUCCUAUUCUAGAGAUACCCAUUCCUCUGAAGCAAAAAGAUACAACAUGAUCAACUAAGCCUGAGAUGAAAAUACCGUGUGUUUUUGUCUUUGUAGCAAACUAGCUUGUGAAGACUAGCUUCUCCAGAUGCAGAAAUAACACCACUUCUACCACUUUGAGGUUGAUUUAUCAUUGAUGCAGAAACAACUCCUACACCACUACUAGUCUACUACUGCCACCGGAGCACGCCCUCCGUCGAACAGUAUGCCUUAUGACCUGCAGUUCAGUAGAGGUCCAAGAACCAGAUGGAUGAGAAUGGCCACUGAAGCCAGUAAUAUAGCGCCUCCUUGUUAAUUAACACACCUAAAGGAAACACAUAUUGGCACACACACGAGACACAUUGACAAGAAAUGACUUCCAAGCCCAUACAAUCAGAUGAGGAAAUCAGAAGCCCUGUAUUCAACUUAGUAUUAAACCCAUUGAUCAAUUAUCCACCAGAAUACUCAAAUGUUUCUUGGGUGAUAAAUUUUAUUAUAUUAAUUCUUAUGCUUUUUUUGGUUUUCACCACCAAACUGAGAAAGUAAAGAAAUUAAAACCCCUCACAGAUAAAUUUUCAUAUAAAUGGAGAAAAAAGAAAAAGACAAAAGAAAAAUUGAUGUUGCUUGGAAAUCUGAAGCAGUGACCAAUUAUACCCCGACCCAUAGUAUCAUUUCCAUUUUAGAGUUGUAGUCUAUCUAUAGAGGUUCAAUUUAUGACCCAAAAAAAAUUCUCAAAAUGAAAACGUGGAUGUUGCUCUAUUCCCGCCAACGCAACUGAAUCACGUUGCUUAUUCCCACUUCGUUCUCUCUUCACUCUCUCUCUAUAUAUUGCAAUCUCUCUCAUCACUCUCUCUCUGUUCAUUUUCUCAAUCUCUCUCUGUUCACUCCGUUCAACAAUGGCAGAUCAGUUUUCAGGUGGUAAAAGGGUUGUGCGGAAAUGGAUGAUUAAUAAAGUUGAAAGGGCUUCGGAAUCGGCAAGCGAAAUCAAUCCCGAACAGAAGAACGUCGAAAAGGAAGCAACUAUGGAGAAGCCGCCGGUGGUUGAGCAAAAGAUCGAGAACAUCACGCUGAAGAACGUCGGAAACGAAGCAACUCUGGAGAAGCCGCCGGUCGUUGAGCAGAAGAUUGAGAACAUCACG